rnacentral:rRNA from 1 species
UGAGUAACACGUAUCCAACCUGCCGUCUACUCUUGGACAGCCUUCUGAAAGGAAGAUUAAUACAAGAUGGCAUCAUGAGUCCACAUGUUCACAUGAUUAAAGGUACUCCGGUAGACGAUGGGGAUGCGUUCCAUUAGAUAGUAGGCGGGGUAACGGCCCACCUAGUCUUCGAUGGAUGGGGGUUCUGAGAGGAAGGUCCCCCACAUUGGAACUGAGACACGGUCCAA